rnacentral:rRNA from 1 species
UACGGUAGGGGGCUAGCGUUGUCCGGAAUCAUUGGGCGUAAAGCGCGCGUAGGCGGCCCGGUAAGUCCGUUGUGAAAGUCAAAGGCUCAACCUUUGAAAGCCGAUGGAUACUGCCGGGCUGGAGUCCGGAAGAGGCGGAGUGGAAUUCCUGGUGUAGCGGUGGAAUGCGUAGAGAUCCGGAAGAACACCGGUGGCGAAGGCGGCAUUCUGGACUGUAACUGACACUGAGGAACGAAAGCCAGGGGAGCAAACGGG